rnacentral:tRNA from 2 species
UCUGGUUCGAGUCCAGGAUGGCCCACCUGAACCCCAAAGCCAAAUUCCCCUCCUCAACCCCAACAGUUAAACCUGUGGGCGAGUGAGGCGAGUGCGGAUGGCAUAACUCAAACGGGGGUAUAGCUCAGUUGGUAGAGCGCCUGCUUUGCAAGCAGGAUGUCAGCGGUUCGAGUCCGCUUACCUCCACCAAAACGCCCAAGCCAAGAUUGAGAAAAAUUCAGCACCGGCUGUCAGCAGCAGACUGCUGGAGAAAUUCUCCAGUCAAAGAACCUUGA